ACUGCCUAACAGGGAGAGGAAGAAGCUGGUGGGACCAAAACACAGGAACCCUGCAGCUACUGAGGGGGGUUACAGUCACCACUGGAAUACACCAGCGGUCGCUGCGGUUAUGCUCU